UAGGGAAUCUUCGGCAAUGGACGGAAGUCUGACCGAGCAACGCCGCGUGAGUGAAGAAGGUUUUCGGAUCGUAAAGCUCUGUUGUUAGAGAAGAACGUUGGUAGGAGCGGAAAAUCUACCAAGUGACGGUAACUAACCAGAAAGGGACGGCUAACUACGUGCCAGCAGCCGCGGUAAUACGUAGGUCCCGAGCGUCGUCCGGAUUUAUUGGGCGUAAAGCGAGCGCAGGCGGUUCUUUAAGUCUGAAGUUAAAGGCAGUGGCUUACCCAUUGUACGCUUUGGAAACUGGAGGACUUGAGUGCAGAAGGGGUGAGUGGAAUUCCAUGUGUAGCGGUGAAAUGCGUAGAUAUAUGGAGGAACACCGGUGGCGAAAGCGGCUCUCUGGUCUGUAACUGACGCUGAGGCUCGAAAGCGUGGGGAGCAAACAGG
rnacentral:rRNA from 1 species